rnacentral:lncRNA from 1 species
GUGAUGUCAUUUCCGGUUGAGUAUCCCAUCAUGCAGUAAGAGCACAAUCUAAGAGCAAGUGCCUAGAAGCAUUCCUAGAAGCAAGAUGUCUUCGAAAAUAUGGCGGGCCGAUGUUACUCGUUGCGAGAAUGAAACACAUCAAACUAAAAGGAACCUAGAUUUUCAAGACAGGACAUGAUAAUAUCAACAUAGAAACUAUGAUUGAUACAAAACGUAGAAACAGCAAUGAAAGUAUGUGCUGAGACUCAACAGGAGAAAGAAUCACAUGCAAACAUUGGAUUCCGUAUCAAGCUUUCAUAAAGGUUGAAACAGUUCCCAUUUCUUACUACGCAAACCAUAAAGCGGUGUGCUGAGACUUCUGUGGAGAAGUAUUCAUACUGAGGCAAUAGAUUCCAUAUCAGAUACAAAACAGAGAAGCAAGGAAAAGAGCUAUGUGCUGAGACUCAAGAGGAGAAAGAAUCAAAUUGAAACAUUGGAUCCCAUAGUAGGUACAAAACAAAGAAGGAACAAUAAAAGCUGUGCUGAGACUCUAGAGGAAAAAGAAUCAAAUAGAGACAUUGGAUCCCUUUUUAGGUGAGUCACAAUUUUCUUUUAAAAGGAAAGGGAUUUUAUCACUUAAUGGUGCUUGUCAAAGGUAAA